GAUGAACGCUGGCGGCGUGCCUAAUACAUGCAAGUCGAGCGAACAGAUGAGGAGCUUGCUCCUCUGACGUUAGCGGCGGACGGGUGAGUAACACGUGGAUAACCUACCUAUAAGACUGGGAUAACUUCGGGAAACCGGAGCUAAUACCGGAUAAUAUAUUGAACCGCAUGGUUCAAUAGUGAAAGACGGUUUUGCUGUCACUUAUAGAUGGAUCCGCGCCGCAUUAGCUAGUUGGUAAGGUAACGGCUUACCAAGGCGACGAUGCGUAGCCGACCUGAGAGGGUGAUCGGCAACACUGGAACUGAGACACGGUCCAGACUCCUACGGGAGGCAGCAGUAGGGAAUCUUCCGCAAUGGGCGAAAGCUUGACGGAGCAACGCCGCGUGAGUGAUGAAGGUCUUCGGAUCGUAAAACUCUGUUAUUAGGGAAGAACAAAUGUGUAAGUAACUAUGCACGUCUUGACGGUACCUAAUCAGAAAGCCACGGCUAACUACGUG
rnacentral:rRNA from 1 species